GGGAGAGCCGGCAGCAGCAGCAGCUCCCAGCUGAUUCAGUCGUUACCUAAUUGCUGGCAGCAGAGCCGUGAGUUCAGGAGACCAUGGAUAGACGGAUAAUUGCAGUCCAGACUUACGAAACAGCAAGAGCCAGGCCCUGAGAAGAGAGUACAAAUGCCGUGCUCCCUGGUGGAGGGUAUUUUAAGGAGAAGAGAUCUGACAUCUUGCUAUUGUGCUGUAUUCACCAGAAUGUUAUCUCUUUUAAUGAUGACCACAUGCCUGAAUUCUGCACAGAUACCAACAGCAGGGAUAGGUGAGGAGCCCAUGGGCAGAGUGAGAAGAGCAGUCCUAUUCACACAAGGAAUGUUUGGUCUUUCAUCUGGUAAGGCUUGAUAUCACCACAAUAAUUGGAGGCAAGAGAAGACAUCAAUUGGAAGAGCCCAUUGUCUAAGUAGCAGUGAUAUAAAAAUUUACCCUUGAAGGAGAUGGGCCAUUCCCACCCUCCUCCCAAGACUCUCUGUCAUGUGAUGCUGAGUUUCCAAAAGGAGUGGCAGCUGUGCUGCAUGUCAGCAAUGGGAGGUACACAGAGUAAAGGAUGCCUGAUGCCAUGCUUGGGUGCUGUAGACUGGAGGUGGUGUCGAGAAUUGAACACAAACAGAAUCCAGAUCAAGAAGCAAGAUGAGGAAAAUGAGAUUCUCUGACUCCCUUCUGUUUGCAAAUCAAAAGCUUUGACUUACCACUAGGCGGCACUCUUCACUCUGUUAUCUUUCUGAAGCCUUCAGCCCCGUAGGGCUGCUAUUCAAAUAGAAGCACUGCAUUUACUAACGUUUGUGAAUUGUUUAGGAAUAAUCAGAAGCACACUACAAUUCUGGACAGAUUUUUUUCCCCUAAUGCUUCUGUUGAUUGUGACACAAAGUCCUUGACUGCAUCAAACGUAACCUGGAAGGAUUCAGCAAAUCCAACUUGCCUUUGCAACCGUACCUAAAAUGUACUUCACCAUCGUAAAUUUUUUAUUCUCAUAAAGUAGACAAAGUACAAAAU
rnacentral:lncRNA from 1 species